UACGUAGGGUGCAGGCGUUAAUCGGAAUUACUGGGCGUAAAGCGUGCGCAGGCGGUCUCUUAAGACAGGUGUGAAAUCCCCGGGCUUAACCUGGGAACUGCGCUUGUAACUGAGAGGCUUGAGUGUGCCAGAGGGGGGUGGAAUUCCGACGUGUAGCAGUGAAAUGCGUAGAGGAUGUGGAGGAGCACCGAUGGCGAAGGCGGCGACCUGGGUCGAUACUGACGCUGAGGUGCGAAAGCGUGGGGAGCAAACAGG
rnacentral:rRNA from 1 species